AAAAUCCCAGUGCUUCUUUUGGCAUUCUUUUUAAUUUUCUUUGCAAAUUUUCCUUUAAUGCAGUCUAUGCAUUGAUCUAAUUCUGAGAACUCAAGUGGAGGAAGAAUUUCAUUCUUUACUAAUAUCUCUAUUCUCCCCCUCGAAAUGUGGCCUAAACGACAAUGCCAUAAUUUCGACGAUACAUCUUGAGUUCGCUUUCUUUUUCUAUUCUCACUCUGAGACAAGGACGUGUUUUCUGUAGCAUCACAUACGGAAUUCACUGUUUCACGAAGCGAUAAUAAAUAAAGAUCUUGUUGUUGGAAUGCAACACCAACACAGUCAUUAUUACAAUAAAUCUGGCACUUGCCAUCACCAAAAUGACAAGCAAAAUUAUCAUCGUCCAAACGUGAAACACUAAUCAAAUUUCUCUGAAGCGAAGGAACAUAAAGGACAUCUCUAAGUAAAAGUGUGAAGCCACUAGCAAGCUCCAGGGAGACAUCGCCAACAGCUUCAACAUCUGCUCUGACUCCAUUCGCCACUCUAAUGUGUCUUUCUCUUCUUGUUGUCGUCCUUGUCGAGCUGAACCCCACAUGAUCUGAGUUUCAUCUGUAGCCAAUCAGGGCAUCUUUUCUUGUAGUGUCCUUCUUUCUUGCAGUAGAGACAUUGGUUUUGGUUCACUACAAACUGGUUCUGUUGAGGAAGAUGCUGCAUGGUAGGCUGAGACUGGUUCUGGCCCUGGUGCUGGGUGGAAGGCUUGCCCUGUUGCUGCAUAGGGCCCUUUCCCUUGUUCUUUGAAGGAGAAUGUUAACAACAAAGGUUUCAAAUUCUUUUGGCAACGACGCAAAAACCAAAUGAACAAGGAAAGCAUCAGUGAUGGUGGCACGGGCUGGACGGGACGCUCUGUGUCAAGGACCCAGUCCACCUCAGCAAAGGUGAAGGCCAUGUCGAUCUUUUUCCUCCACUCAACGUAGUUGUCCCCUUUGAGUGGUGGAAUGGUGUUGAUGAACGUCAUCAACGAGUAAGCUCCUGAAACACAAACCUCUGGGUGAGAACAUAAAUAAUCACAAUUGUAUGCCUUAGUAUCAACGUUGGUCAAAAUUAAAACAUACAACUGUUUAUGCAAUAAAACUAUAUCACCGUUGGGCAGAAAUAGAAUUAAUGCAUAAUAAUCUUUUAAUCACAUCAUAAUACUGCCAUUAAUCAACGUUGGUCAGAAUAAUAACAAUAUUAUAAUAAUCUGGAAAA